rnacentral:rRNA from 1 species
AACGUAGGUGGCAAGCGUUAUCCGGAUUUACUGGGCGUAAAGGGUGUGCAGGCGGGGUAGCAAGUGGUGUAUGAAAUCUCCAGGCUUAACCUGGAGGGGUUAUGCCAGACUGCUGCUCUAGAGGACGAGAGAGGGGGGUGGAAUUCCGGGUGGUAGUGGUGAAAUGCGUAGAGAUCCGGAGGAACCCCAGAGGCGAAGGCGGCCCCCUGGCUCGUACCUGACGCUCAGCCACGAAAGCA